rnacentral:rRNA from 1 species
AUUGACCGCUGGCGGCAGGCUUAACACAUGCAAGUCGCGUUAGCGGCUGCCGGGUGGGUCGUGUCUGUGAAACUGCCUGAUGGACGGGGAUAACUACUUGAAACGGUAGCUAAUACCGCAUACCACUAGUUGUCCACUGAUGGGAUUAGCUACUGGGUGGGGUAAUGGCUCACCUAGUCUACGAUCCCUAGCGGGUCGGAGAGGAUGACCAGCGACAAUGAAACUGAGACACGGUCCAGACGCCUAAGAGAGGCAGCAGUGGGGAAUAUUGCACAAUGGGCGCAAGCCUGAUGCAGCCAUGCCGAGUGUGUGAAGAAGGCCUUCGGGUUGUAAAGCACUUGCAGCGAGGAGGCGUUACUCGCAGAAGAAGCACCGGAUAACUCCGUGCCGGCAGCCGCGGUAAUAC